rnacentral:rRNA from 1 species
GACAAACGCUGGCGGCAGGCUUAACACAUGCAAGUCGAGCGGGGGAAGGUAGCUUGCUACCGGACCUAGCGGCGGACGGGUGAGUAAUGCUUAGGAAUCUGCCUAUUAGUGGGGGACAACAUCUCGAAAGGGAUGCUAAUACCGCAUACGUCCUACGGGAGAAAGCAGGGGAUCUUCGGACCUUGCGCUAAUAGAUGAGCCUAAGUCGGAUUAGCUAGUUGGUGGGGUAAAGGCCUACCAAGGCGACGAUCUGUAGCGGGUCUGAGAGGAUGAUCCGCCACACUGGGACUGAGACACGGCCCAGACUCCUACGGGAGGCAGCAGUGGGGAAUAUUGGACAAUGGGGGGAACCCUGAUCCAGCCAUGCCGCGUGUGUGAAGAAGGCCUUAUGGUUGUAAAGCACUUUAAGCGAGGAGGAGGCUACUUUAGUUAAUACCUAGAGAUAGUGGACGUUACUCGCAGAAUAAGCACCGGCUAACUCUGUGCCAGCCGCCGCCGUAA